GGAUGAACGCUGGUAGUAUGCCUAACACAUGCAAGUUGAACGUUUUUAUUAACAUAAAAAAGUAACGUACGGGUGAGUAAUAUGCAAGUUAUCAAAGCUCAGGUAAGGAAUAACAUGUGGAAACAUAUGCUAAUGCCUUGUAUUGCGGUUUUCCGUAAAAGAUUUUCGCCUGGGCAUGAGCUUGUACUUGAUUAGCUUGUUGGUGAGGUAAUGGCUUACCAAGGCUGUGAUCAAUAGCUAGUUUGAGAGAAUGAUUAGCCACAUUGGAACUGAGACACGGAACAGACUCCUACGGGAGGCAGCAGUGAGGAAUAUUUCACAAUGGAUGAAAGUCUGAUGAAGCAAUACUACGUGGAGGAAGAAGGCCUUUGGGUUGUAAUCUCCUUUUCUCAUUGAAGAAUAUAUGACGGUAAUUGAGGAAUAAGCAUCGGCUAACUUCGUGCCAGCAGCCGCGGUAAUACGAGGGAUGCAAGCGUUAUCCGGAAUUAUUGGGCUUAAAGCGUUUGUAGGCGGCUUAGUGUGUUUGGUGUUAAAUAUUGAAGCUCAACUUCAAUUUCGCAUUGAAAACUACUAGGCUUGAAUAUUAUAGAGGUAAAGGGAAUUCUUAGUGUAGCGGUGAAAUGCGUAGAUAUUAAGAAGAACACCAAUGGCGAAAGCACUUUGCUAGGUUAAUUAUUGACGCUGAGAAACGAGAGCUAAGGUAGCCAAUCGGAUUAGAUACCCGAGUAGUCUUAGCUGUAAAUGUUGGCAAUUAAGUGGUGCAUACGUGCUGCUGUAGCGAAAGCGUUAAAUUGCCCGCCUGGGGAGUAUGCUUGCAAAAGUGAAACUCAAAGGAAUUGACGGGGGCUCGCACAAGCGGUGGAGCAUGUGGUUUAAUUCGACGAUACGCGAAGAAUCUUACCUGGGUUUGACUUGUCAAGAAGUCUUCUAAAAGAAGAUGUGCCUUUUGGAACUUGAUAGAAGGUGGUGCAUGGCUGUCGUCAGCUCGUGUUGUGAAAUGUUAGGUUAAGUCCUGUAACGAGCGCAACCCUCUUUUUUAGUUAUCUUUUUGAAUUCUAAAAAUACUGCCAAUUAAAGUUGGAGGAAGGUGAGGAUGAGGUCAAGUCAUCAUGCCCCUUAUAUCCAGGGCUACACACGUGCUACAAUGUUUAGGACAACGGGUUGCAAAUUUGUGAGAAUAAGCUAAUCCCUUAAACCUAAACUAAGUUCGGAUAAUAGGCUGCAACUCGCCUAUUUGAAGUCGGAAUCGCUAGUAAUCGCCAAUCAGAAUGUGGCGGUGAAUACGUUCUCGGGCCUUGUACACACCGCCCGUCACGUCGAGAAAGUUGGUUAUACUUGAAGAAAAUCGUCUUAAAUUGGGAUCUUUCUAAAGUAUAGUUGAUGAUUUUGACGAAGUCGUAACAAGGUAGCCGUACU
rnacentral:rRNA from 1 species